rfam:Pseudomonas monteilii strain TSDA-ARS-TSMARC-56711, complete genome.
UCGUAUGUCGUCGCACCCCCUUCGUGCGCUGCGACGGCGAGCUUCGUGCGCCCCAGGGGGCGGCGGGGUUUCACCAGAAAAAGGAA